rnacentral:tRNA from 1 species
CGUGGGGUAGAGUAAUUCGUCAACUCAUCGGGCUUAUGAUCUGAUAAUUACGGGUUUGAAUCCUGUCCCCGCCU